AACAGGUCUAUGACUCAGUUAUCAAAGCCCUCGCUCUGCUUGGGGUUUGGGGAAAUUUCCGCAGUCAGGUGGGUGCUGCAUGCCGCAAGGCGUCGUGACAAAAGGAACCAACGUAAGAGCAGAAGCAGAACACGCUUCUGCUCAUUGAUUUGAAUCAGAAUGCGGGUCGUCAAUGGAGAUGCGCGUGACUGUAUUUCUACACAGGGAGAAUGAAGACAGCGCUCCGCUCUCAGAAAGUACAGCAGCAUGAAAGCGGGCACACGGUCACUGUAAACACCAGCCCCGUUUUGGAGGAGACCCGUGAUAGCUGACCAUAGCUAGAUGGGCAUGAAUGUCCAGCAAGCAUUUGCUAUCUGUUCAUUGUCACGAUAGAUGCCGCCGGCGACAGGAAGGCAACCAAGACUGACCUGCCUUCAGGGAGCUGCUGUGACUCCCUUUGAAUCAGUUUCACUUGUUUUGUUUUGUGAGACAGGGUUUCGCUCUGUAUUCCAAGCUGGCCUCAACUCAGUGAUCUUGCCUCAGC